GGAGAGUUUGGGGAUCUACAGCAACCAAAGGCUUUUCCCUGACUUCAUGUGACUGCGGCCGGCGAGCGAGUGAGUCGUGCGUGAGGAAUAAGAGGCAAGGCUUUUCCGAGAUUGUCUCAGCGAUGGCGCUUCGGUCGCGGUUCUGGGGGUUCUCCGUUUGCAGGAACCCUGGGUGCAGGUUCGCGGCCCUCUCAACCAGCUCCAAGCCGGCGGCGAAACCUGAAGUGCACCCUGUGGAAAAUGAAGCUGUCGCCCCAGAGUUCACCAAUCGAAACCCCCGGAACCUGGAGCUUCUAUCUGUAGCUAGGAAAGAGCGGGGCUGGCGGACGGUGUGGCCCUCCCGUGAGUUCUGGCACAGGUUGCGAGUUAUAAAGACUCAGCAUCAUGUAGAAGCACUUGGGGAGCAUCAAAAUGGCAAGGUUGUGGUUUCAGCAUCCACCCGUGAAUGGGCUAUUAAAAAGCACCUUUAUAGUACCAGAAAUGUGGUGGCUUGUGAGAGUAUAGGACGAGUACUGGCACAGAGAUGCUUAGAGGCGGGAAUCAACUUCAUGGUCUACCAACCAACCCCAUGGGAGGCAGCCUCAGACUCGAUGAAACAACUACGAAGUGCCAUGACAGAAGGUGGUGUGGUUCCACGGGAACCUCGGAGAAUCUAUGAAUAAAUGAAUAAAUGGAAGCAUUAAUUGUUUUGAACAUGUAAAUAUAAAACUGUCAGCCACUACAGCCAUCAAAAGAGACCAUCUGGAAGAACAGCCAGCUUGG